rnacentral:lncRNA from 10 species
UGAAGUUUGAGGGUCUUUGAUUACUCAUGACAGCCUAGAAGAGAGGAGAGGACAACCAGAAUUAAAGGUUACGUUGCCUCACGUGGAUAUAUAAGAUAAAGCAUCCAGCCAAGUGAGGGAAUAAUGCAUACUGACUACUCAGGAAGUAGCACUGCAGAUGCCACACUCUUGAAUCAGCCCAUAUUUUAACUGUAAGUAGCACACUGAAAAUCAGCAGUAAGAGAAUGAAGAAACUGGAGUCAAGACAGGGUCCAGUAGAGAGAGAGAAAAAAAACCCACUGUUUUGGAUUGUUCUUUCACAUCCUAAGCAAUCAUGAAUGUUACAGAACUAGAAUCUGGACUUCUUUUAGCUACAUGCUCAAGAUUAAAAGCAAAUGACAGGGAGAAUGCAAGAAGGGAUUGCUGGGAAGAAGGCCAGAGGAAAUUGGAGUGAGAAAUUCAAAAUGUAUGCAAGAGUUUGUCUAAGGAGAAUCAAAACUACUAUGUUUAGAAAAGGUUGAAAUUUCAUUAUUUUGCAAGAGUUACAUCAACAACUGCAAAAGCUUCAGGAAUUCCAGCCCUUUGGAUUGAAACUCUUGCCUGGAGCAUUAAGAACUUGGGGGAGAAAUCACUACUCACUGCUUUGCUCGCAAUUCUCAUUUGGACUAGCGCUUGCAGAAACUGAGCUGAACUUUCCGCACUGUUAUUGCAUCUGUAAGAUCAUCCAAAGUCCAGCUACCACAAUAUGUCUGGAUUGAAUCUUAAGGAUUCUUCCUGUUAUUCAUGCAUUGACUGGGCUUGGCUGGGCAGCUCUCUUCUGAAGUUGUAAUCGGAUGUUGUCUGUGGUUGCUGUCAUUUAAAUGCUCAGAUUGGCUGAAUGUCCAACGUGGCUCACUGACAUAGUUGGCAGGCCUGGCCAUGUGACUUGCUUCAGCCAAUGGAAUGUGAGGGGUUGUCACAUAUGAGAUAUUGGAAAGAAACUUGAAGGGCUACUGGGAGUUUCCAGAACUAUAUCUUUACCUUUGCCAAGAGGACAAGAUGGAAAUGGCAUAUCGUCCUGGAUCCCAGGUGUCAAGACAUAUGGAACACAGCUGCAGACUUGCUACAGAUGCCCAGCUGAACUAUAAUGAGAAGAAUAAAUAAACCUUUAUAGUUGUAGGC